UAGUAAUCCUAUUCAGAAUGAGAGGGACCAUAGAUUUAGACAUGUGGUGUCACUGCUUAGCUGAGGAGCCAACUGUGUGAAGCUCCUGUCUGUGGGAUUAUGACCAAAAUGCCUCUAAAUCAGAAUCCCCACUAAAA
rnacentral:ncRNA from 1 species